UACCAGCACCCCGAGUGGUCGGGACGAUUAUUGGGCCUAAAGCAUCCGUAGCCGGUUUUACAAGUCCUCCGUUAAAUCCAACUGCUUAGCAGAUGGGCCGCGGAGGAUACUAUAAGACUAGGAGGCAGGAGAGGCAAGCGGUACUCAGUGGGUAGGGGUAAAAUCCGUUGACCCAUUGAAGACCACCAGUGGCGAAGGCGGCUUGCCAGAAUGCGCUCGACGGUGAGGGAUGAAAGCUGGGGGAGCAAACCGG
rnacentral:rRNA from 1 species